rnacentral:lncRNA from 1 species
CACAGCUGGAUCCCGCGCACUGGAGCCUCCAGGUCCUGCCCCGAGAUGCAGCCCUCCCCGCCUGCCUCUCCUUGAGGGGUGCCUGCUGCCCCUCCCUGGCCAGACGCUCAGGACCACGGGUGCUUGUGCCCCACAAGGUUUCAGGGACUGCAGAAUGUCUCCCGGGCAGAGGGGAGGGACUCUCCAGGAAGCCCGAGCUUCAGCCCUCAGCCCUGUUCCAG